rnacentral:tRNA from 2 species
UCCCUGGAGGACUAGUGGUUAGGCCACGGCGCUCUCACAGACGUGGCCCGGGUUCGAUUUCCGGCCAGGGAA